rnacentral:rRNA from 1 species
CUCUGUUGUUAAGGAAGAACGAGUGUGAGAACGGAAAGUUCAUACUGUGACGGUACUUAACCAGAAAGGGACGGCUAACUACGUGCCAGCAGCCGCGGUAAUACGUAGGUCCCGAGCGUUGUCCGGAUUUAUUGGGCGUAAAGCGAGCGCAGGCGGUUAGAUAAGUCUGAAGUUAAAGGCAGUGGCUCAACCAUUGUAGGCUUUGGAAACUGUUUAACUUGAGUGCAGAAGGGGAGAGUGGAAUUCCAUGUGUAGCGGUGAAAUGCGUAGAUAUAUGGAGGAACACCGGUGGCGAAAGCGGCUCUCUGGUCUGUAACUGACGCUGAGGCUCGAAAGCGUGGGGAGCGAACAGGAUUAGAUACCCUGGUAGUCCGCGCCGUAAACGAUGAGUGCUAGGUGUUAGGUCCUUUCCGGGACUUAGUGCCGCAGCUAACGCAUUAAGCACUCCGCCUGGGGAGUACGACCGCAAGGUUGAAACUCAAAGGAAUUGACGGGGGCCCGCACAAG